rnacentral:misc_RNA from 1 species
GAAGAGAGAGAGAGAAAGAGAACAGCUGAUAUGUUCAGUUCAGUUUAACUUUAUAAACAAACUGUGAAUCACACGAAAGCUUGAAAGAGAGCAACAAAAUGAUAAAGGAUUGGAAACGUGACUGCGAGGCUUAGCAACACAGUAUACAUUAAACAGCUUGAGGAGGAGGAGAUAAGAUAAAUAUUGAUUAAACAUGGUAUAGUUGUAUUCCGUCCUUAACAAUGCAUGGAGUCUAUUUGAUCCCUUUCCUGCUAACCAAUGUUUUCGGCCUGGCACAUAGGAUAGGAAUUGUUCAAGAGUUCUACGGAGAUAUUAGUAAAAACAAGGAUGCUUAUCAUACAGUAAAUAUAGAUCUGGAGAGGGGUGAAACUUUAGGGGUACAGACGGAGACAAGUAACCUAACCUUACCUCUUCAAUUCCUAAUCAAGGGAUACGGUUCAAUACAGCAUUGGCAGGUUCCAGCUCGGGAGUUCCCUGAUACAAACUUUGUACUGAAAACUCUCUGCUCAAUGGGCCCAGGGAGGAUACAGAUAAUAGUAUCCAGUGAACAUAGUGUAAGUUCGUCCUACAGAAUAGUUUUAAGAAAACUUCAGUAUUAUGUUAGUUCGGAGUACAGUUUGGACAAUAUCCAGGUCUCUCCGUCCUCACCUGCAAUAUUCAGAUUCGAAUUUCCUCCGGGAACUCCUGACCAUAAACUGGUGGUUAAACAGGGACCUGGAGCAGUCUGUUCCAUAGUCUCCAUCCGUCCUGAUGAGCUCUGUCCCGACUACGCCCUCCCUGAUACUGAAAGUAUUGUAAGGUUCGGAGAAAAAGUGCAGUUUCAAACAAUGCUGAAGAAAAGCUCUCUUGUCAUCACGAGAAAUCAUUUCUCAGAAAACACGACUGCGAUCAAUAUUAUCAUUCUUGCCAAAAGGAGCGACGAGGGAUGUUAUUCAGUUUCCAGUUUUCAAGAGGACACGGAGAGAAUAGGAAACUUCAGUUUGUUCGUCCUACAACAGCCGGAGAAGCUAAUCUAUAUCUCAACCUUGCCAGUUCUUGGUUUCUAUACUAUUGGAGCUCUACUGGCCAUUAUUUUAGGCCACCUUACCUUCAGGUUCUCUGCAGAAGAGGAUUCAUUGCCCAGCUCUCAACCUACCCGGAGAACUAGACUACAGGAUCAUCCGCUCUUAUAUUCCUGUUGCAGAAGAAACAUUCCUCUGGAUGCUGAGAAUGGGACUGAUGAGCCCGAUAUAACAGAGAUUCAAAAUGAAAACAGUCCUACUAAAACUCAAAUUGACAUGGAGCUCGAACCUGACAUUCUGGAACCAAAAAAAUCACCAAAUAACCGGCCCUGGCUCUGCCCUUGGCAGAAUACUGAGAGUUUGGUUGAGAGCGAGGAUACGGUGGAUUUUCGUGAGACGGAGAACACAACAUGCAACCCUCUCUACAGAUCAGUUAUCCGGUCUCGUGUUAAUUCAAGGGAUGGUUCCACAAAUUUGAACCAGCAUGAAACAGAUCUCAUUAAAAAAGUGUUUCAUCUAAAUGAGGGAAAGCUGAGGGAAAAACGAAAGCUUGAAAAUCUUGCAGUAUCGGAUAUGUGUGUUUUCCUUUACGAUAAAGAAGCUUUUAGAUCUAGGAUUCAUAUGCGCUCCACCUCAUAUCUCUGGUUAACAGUACUCAUGGGUAUAUUCUAUACUCUGCCUGUGGUUCAGUUGGUUCUGUACUACCAGGAUAUAUCACUGCAAACCGGGAACCUGGAUAUCUGUUACUACAACUUUGAGUGUCUCCAUAGGUUCUCUUUCCUAGAGGACUUUGGCCAUGUAUUCAGUAACUUCAGUUAUGUCAUAUCUGGAAUUAUUUUUAUACUCCUGGUUAGGUUUCGCAGCUCCAGGUACAGAGCAGUCUGUACUCAGGACACAUACAAGAUUUCUGAAUUACGUCACCCUGAUAACUGUGGUAUACCGGAGCAGUAUGGAAUAUUCUACUCUAUGGGAGCUGCUCUCAUAAUGGAAGGUGUUCUAAGUGCAUGUUAUCAUGUUUGUCCAACCGCACAGAACUUCCAGUUCGAUACAACCUUCAUGUACGCGAUAUCUGUUCUCGUCUUUCUCAAGGUAUUUCAGUUCAGACAUCCCGACAUUACUCAAACAGCUCAAGGGGUCUUUCUCGUCAUAGGAAUAGCUCUGGUACUUGAAGUUGUUGGAUAUCUUACUUCUCAUGUAGGAUUCUGGAUUAUAUUUCUUGGAAGCCAUGCUACCAUCAUUUCAAUGUUUUUAAUCCAUAUUUAUUACAACGGUUCAUGUCCUACCGUGUCAGAAUUGUUAAGUUUCACUGCACUUAAAGAGUUUAUAGAGAGGAUUAAAACCUGCUCCUUGUGCAAGAUGAAGGAAUGUAUCCCAACCUUAACGGUUAUUGUGUUGAACAUUGGCAUUGCAGGGUUCUAUCUUUAUAAACAAAACCCUGGGGUAUCCAGGUACCUUCUAGUCAUUAUUGCAGCCAACAUGACGCUUUAUGUCAUGUUUUAUCUGGGAAACAAACUGUGGAUAAGGUUUCAUGCAAGCCGUUGGAGACUUAGUGAAGGAUUAACAAUGCUAACGACGAUGUACGGACUUUUCUCCAUUCUCUUCAUGAUGGCUGCAAUGUAUUUCUUCACAGCUGAGCUAAAGAGCAGUGCUGGAACUCCGGCAGAGUCAAGGAACCUAAACGGAGCCUGUACUCUAGGUAUAUUUGAUAAUCAUGAUCUCUGGCACUUUUUCUCAGCAGCAGGACUCUUCUUUCUCUUGAUCUUCCUUCUCACGCUAGAGGAUAACAACUUGAGAGUUCCCAGGAACAGAAUCCCAGUUUUCUAAUAGAUUCAAACCAAUUCUUUUUUAUUUGAAAUGAGCCGCUCAGACCGUAGACAAUUAAUUUGCUUUGAAUUGUUAUGCUCAACCCGUGAUCAUAUUUGAAUUUGAUUCAAGCUCAAUUUAAAUUUGAAUUGCAAGAAUGAAAAUUACCCCAUCCAGUGUCGUAAUGAUUUUUUUAAUGGCAUAUGUUUUUACUUUUAUGAAAAUGUCAAAAUCAACUCAGCAUUAUUUAUAACAACAAGUUCCUGUUCAAUACAGGGGAAAUAAGUUCCAAAACAGGUUAAUGGUCCAGUUAUUACACUCGGUGUUAAAAAUGGAACUAAUUUCCCCUGCAAUAUUAAAUCAAAAAAAUACCGGUACAAGAUUAUCAUUUUUAUCAAACUUUUAUCUCAGAAAUAGUUCAAACCUGAAUAUAAAAAAAACUUUAUUUUACAGCUGAUCAUGGAUAAGAUAUUUUAACAUAAAUUGUAACGUAAAUCUCAGUGACAAAUGUAACAAUUGUCUUUAAAUAAUUAUUUAUUUUUAUAAAUUGAAAAAUUGUUUUGUCGCAAUGUUAAAGUUUUUAAAUUGAAAUCGAAAAUCUGAUUUGACAUUCCCCAAAAGCAUUUGUUUAAAAGAUUUUUAUCAUACAGUUUUUUUCUUUGAAAAUUGCUCUGUUACUUCGGAAAAAGAAAAAGUGCCAUUUUUUCAUGACGAUUGGAGGAUUUAGUUUUAGAAUUAAUUUCAGACUAGACAUUGUGCCAUAAUAUCCAUAAGUUUUUUGUAGUUUAACAUAAUACUCUUAUAAUGAAAAUACAAUGGCAUCAUUUUUUUACAACGUUCAAAUUAAUGUGAUUAUUGUUUCUUUAAAUUUGCUGUGAUAAUGUUUUCAUCCUUGUUAUUUGUUAUUUUUAGUUUUUUUGUUGUUUCAUUCCAUAAACAUUUGAUUUCAUUGGAAAAACCAGCUUCUUGACUUUAGAGCAAUCUUGCAAGUUAAAAAAAAAUUGAAAAAUUGAAACGUCAACCAGUCAAAUUAAUAUUUAUGAACCAUUUACUAUAUGUUUAUAAACUAGUUGACUUAUAUGUUUAUA